rnacentral:rRNA from 1 species
GUUAUAUGGUCAAGUGAAGAAGCGCAUACGGUGGAUGCCUUGGCAGUCAGAGGCGAUGAAAGACGUGGUAGCCUGCGAAAAGCUUCGGGGAGUCGGCAAACAGACUUUGAUCCGGAGAUGUCUGAAUGGGGGAACCCAGCCAUCAUAAGAUGGUUAUCACACACUGAAUACAUAGGUGUGUGAGGCGAACCAGGGGAACUGAAACAUCUAAGUACCCUGAGGAAAAGAAAUCAACCGAGAUUCCCUUAGUAGUGGCGAGCGAACGGGGACUAGCCCUUAAGCUUCUUUGAUUUUAGCGGAACGCUCUGGAAAGUGCGGCCAUAGUGGGUGAUAGCCCUGUACGCGAAAGGAUCUUAGAAGUGAAAUCGAGUAGGACGGAGCACGAGAAACUUUGUCUGAACAUGGGGGGACCAUCCUCCAAGGCU